AGCCAAAUGGAUGUUUAACAGCUAAGCACUUGGGAUGGCCUUAAAAGCUCUCAAAGAUCUUGAUGAUGUUAUAGCCAGAGCUUAGUUGCGGCAAUUCCUGUAGCAACUUCAUAUUUUCAAUUCUCGAGUUAGCAGUUUUUUUACCCCUUUUUAUCAUCGGCUGGCCUGAUUUUCAUGUAGCCUUUUAGCCAUAGCAUAGAUUAACUUCUGCAGAAAUUCAAUGUUAAGUGUUAGCAUAAUGUAUCCCCC
rnacentral:lncRNA from 1 species